CAAAACGACUCUCGGCAACGGAUAUCUCGGCUCUCGCAUCGAUGAAGAACGUAGCGAAAUGCGAUACUUGGUGUGAAUUGCAGAAUCCCGUGAACCAUCGAGUCUUUGAACGCAAGUUGCGCCCAAAGCCUCGGCUGAGGGCACGUCUGCCUGGG
rnacentral:rRNA from 1 species